CUCCCCUCUCCCAUCUGUAAAAUGGGCUCUGGGCCUGCCCUCCCUCCCCGCCCCUUGGGUAGACGAGGAGAGCAGACAGUUAAUCCCCAAGAAGUGUUUGCUCUUAUUUUUCCUGAGGCUCUAGUCCUGCGUGUCUGUGUCGUACUCAGUGCCACGGUGGGGGCGCCCGAGGGAGGAUUUCAGCAACUACUCACUCCCUUAAUGGAAAACUGCCCAGGCCAGGGACCAGAAACUUCCAUCACCUCCAGCCUCUCCCAGGCACUUCCUCUGCUCGAGGACACCUGAGUCCUGCCCACCCUCCCCUCACAGCACCCUCUGCCACCUCCCGGCCCCUCCCGCAGGCCCAGCCAUUCGAGCUCAUUUGUCCCAUUUGCCACGCGGCUGAGCAUGGAGUCAGUCAAUCAACCAAUUUUCGACCGCCUGCCUGCAGGCCCCGGACGCUUCCUGUGCGGUCCGCUCAGCUUUCGCCCCCAGAGGCAUUUUGGAACCUUCCCAAGACAAAAGGCGGAAGGAAGGAAGGAAGUGCCACCCUGUGGACACAGAAAAGAUAACAGUCCCUGCGGCUCCUGGCGCUUCUCUCCACCACCACGCCGGCCACCCGUGGAGCCCGGGAGGUAGGGAUCAGCAUCGGCCCCGUUUUCUGUUGGGGAAACUGAGACUCUGAUGGGUCCAAAGUCACCCAGCUCAACCCAGGCUGCCUGGCCCAGUCUGCGCUCUUUCCCACCUGCUGCCCUGACACUCUGGGUCCCCUGUCCCUGGGCCCAUUCCUGCAGGGAACCCUGUUUCCCAGGUCCUGCUGGGUUCAGCCCAUGGGGGCACUGACGGGAGGGGGGCCCGGAGGAGGGGAGAGGACGGAGUCUCUCUCCUCUCUCUCUGCCAUGGAGGGGUCUCCUCCCAGGCUCCCACAGCUCCUGGGCUCCAGUAAUGCCACCCCUUCUGCUGUUAUUUCUAGAUGCCUCAUUGUCCCCAUUUGUGGUUUUUUUGGUUGCGCCUUGCGGCAUUUGGGAUCUUAGUUCCCCGGCCAGGAAUCAAACCUGUGCCCCGUGCAGUGGAAGCGUGGAGCCCUAACCACUAGACCACGAGGGAAUUCCCUGGGUUUUUGGUUUUGUUUUAACAAAUUUAUUUUUGGCCACGUUGGGUCUUGGUUGCUGCCCCCGGGCUUUCUCUAGUUGGGGAGAGCGGGCACUACUCUUUGUUGCGUUGCGUGGUCUCCUUAUUGCAGUGGCUUCUGUUGUUGCGGUGCACGGGCUUUAGGUGCACGGGCUUCAGUAGUUGUGGCUUGCGGGCUCAGUAGUUGUGGCUUGUGGGCUCUAGAGUGCAGGCUCAGAAGUUGUGGUGCAUGGGCCUAGUUGCUCCGUGGCACAUGGGAUCUUCCCGGACCAGGGCUCGAACCCGUGUCCCCUGCACUGGAAGGCGGAUUCUUAGCCACUGCGCCACCAGGGAAGCCCCCUGGUCUUUGAAAAAAAGUAUUAUUUAGCAUUAUUUUCAGUUGUGCUCCAAUACACAUAACGUAAACUUCACCAUCUUAUCCAAGUUUAAGUGUGUAGCUCAUCGGCCUUAAGCACGUUCACAGUGUUGUGCAACCAGCACCACCAGCCAUCCAGCUCUUUGGUCUUGCAAAACUGAAAGGCUGUAGCGUUUAAACACCAACUCCCCAGACUCUUCGUCCAGCCCCAGGCACCCACCGUCCUACUUUCUGUCUCUAGGAAUUUGACUACACUAGGGACUUCGUAUAAGUGGAGCCAUACAGUAGUUACCUUGUUAUAACUGGCUGAUUUCCCUUUAGCACAAUGUCCUCGAGAGUCAUCCAUGUUGGAGCAUGUGUCAGAAUAUUCUUGCUUUUUCAGGCUGAAUAAUAUUCCAUUGUAUAUAUACACAUUUUAUUUAUCUAUUCACCUGCAGAUGGACACUUGGGUUGUUUCCACCUUUUGGCUUUUGUGAAUAAUGCUAAGAACAUGGGUGCGCAAAUAUCUGUUUAAGUCCCUGAUUUCAAUUCUUCUGUGUAUAUAUACCCAGAAGUAGACUUGCUGGAUCACAUCAUAGUUCUAUUUUUAUUUUUAUUGUUAAUUUUUUUGGCCAUGCCUCGCGGCUUGUGGGAUCUUAGUUCCCCGACCAGAGAUCGAACCCAUGCCCCCUACAGUGGAAGCGUGGAGUCUUAACCACUGGACCGCCAGAGAAGUCCCAGUAGUUCUAUUUUUAAUUUUAAAAAUUUGAGGUCCUAUUUUCAAUUUUUUGAGGAGCUGCCAUACUGUUUUUUUCCACUGUGCCUUCACCAUUUUACAUUCCCACCAACAAUGUACAAAGGUUCCAGUUUCUCUACACCCUCGCCAACACUUGUUGUCUUCUGUUUUUUUGUUUUUUAUUACAGCCAUCCUAAUGGGUGUGAGGUGGCAUCUCAUUAUGAUUUGCCCAUUUGGUGUGUUACGCUUAGAUCCCUGUAUUGUUUUUUUCUAUCCAGUGACCUGCUGUGUUCCUGACUGUUCCCCAGUUGAUGUGCCAGGACUAUUUGUGGCUUGACCGCCAUGCCCUAGGACAGGGGUCUGAAAUGCCCUCAAGGCCCAGACUCAGGUAAAGCUGGGGUGCACAAGAGAAUGAGGGUGUAGGGGACUGAGGUGGACUGCAGCCCACGCACCCUGACGCCCAUGGCUCUGGCCAAAUGUUUCCAUGAUGUAGCCAGAUUCACCUGAAUUUAUAAUUUGGAUUUGUGUUGUGAAGUCUCUCGAUUUUUUUCCAUCUUAGCAACGAAUUGAAUAGGACUAAAUUCAGGAGACUCCUUCCCCGACACCCCCCAAAAUAAAAAAAGCCUCCUGCCACUC
rnacentral:lncRNA from 1 species